GUAACUGUUAAGCUAAUGGGGAGCAUAGGGCAUUCCUGACAUCCUGCAAAUCUUCAACAAGGACCAUGGAAGAAGAGUGCAGAAACAGACAGUGAGAAGACAUUACUUCCUAUGUUAACUGAGGACAAGAAUGAAGCCACUCUCACCAGUGGAGCAGGUGGGGGAGGUGACACAUCUACUGCUGGAGCUCAGCCCCCUGUGUUUGUUACAGCUGGCAGAGGUGAGACAUCCACCUCACCAUCCCACCCAGAGAAGGAGAAAGAAGGUGAUUCCUGAUCAUCCUCACCAGCCCUGCAGCUGCCCCAUGGCCUCAAAAAGCCUUUCCCUCUCCCCACCCUUAAAAUGCAACCACUGCCCCAUUCCUCCCUCUCCCUGAGAGGAGAACUGUCAGUUGUGGUCUCUGAGGGAGAGGCGCUGCCCCAGCCAGCCUGGAAUAAAGCUACAGAGUGGAGAAUCAAGGCCCAGAUCCAGGCAGAUACUUUGUGGUAACCUAAGAUCCCAUGAACAUCUGGGGAGAUUUUUCAAAGGGUAGGGACAGGGGCUGUUGCUCCAUCCUGACCCGCUGGGGAGCUGCAUUCACACACGCAGGUGGGCCAAACCAGCCCAAACAGGGUGGAAAUAGCCACACCACUGCUCCCAGUGCUGGCUGUGCAGCAGAUGGGACACAGCACAUGGAAUGCCACGUGCCAAGAGCCCCAAGCCUGGAGCAGGCAGCAGCUCCAUGGAGAGCUGAGGGACCACAAGACCAGGCGCUGACUCAGUCCACGGCAAGGAGGCAUCUCCCAGAGCGGGAUGAGAUGGGAGCAGUAGCCUCGUCAAAACAGUGAAGUAGCAGGAAUCUCCUUGGAGAGCAACGGAUCACAGCACUUGUCAAGAUGAUUUCCAAAUCAAAGAUGACUUCCAAGGAGCAGCAAGGGUAUAAUUUUGGAGCCAAUCAAGCCAAUGGCAAAAAUCCCGAUUUCUGCACAAUAUUUUUAAUGGAGCCUCUGGAAUUUUGGAGCUUUGCAUAUUAUAUACUAUAUUAUAUAUUCUGUUGCGGCUAAAAGGUCCAGUCCAAAUUCAGCAUCUGUGGGCCUUACAGAGGAAUGACCCUAAAAAGGAGUGAUGAAAAAGGUCAGCCUAGUUUGAAAACAAAUACCAUGUUUAUAAUGAGACCAAAGGGAGAAUGAAGAAUUCAGUACUUAAUACUGACACCUGCCACUUGCAAAAUAUCUCCACCACUAGAAACAAAUAUCUGGGAGAGUUUGGAAAAUUUUGGUCACUCAUUUGUUCCUCCUUUGUUUCCAUUUCAGUCACUGGUCCAUCUGCCCAAUGACAGCACUGACAUUGCUAAAUGUCAUGAAGU
rnacentral:lncRNA from 1 species